rnacentral:rRNA from 1 species
GAUGAACGCUGGCGGCGUGCUUAACACAUGCAGGUCGAACGAAGCACUUUAUUUUAUUUCCUUCGGGACUGAUUAUUUUGUGACUGAGUGGCGUACGGGUGAGUAACGCGUGGGUAACGGGCCUUGUACAGGGGGAUAACAGUUGGAAACGGCUGCUAAUACCUCAUAAGCGCACGGCAUCGCAUGAUGCAGUUUGUAAAGAUCUGUUGUUAUAAGAUGGACCCGCGUUGGAUUAGCUAGUUGGUGAGGUAACGGCCUACCAAGGCGACGAUCCAUAGCUGGUCUGAGAGGAUGAUCAGCCACACUGGGACUGAGACACGGCCCAGACUCCUACGGGAGGCAGCAGUGGGGAAUAUUGGACAAUGGGCGAAAGCCUGAUCCAGCAAUGCCGCGUGAGUGAUGAAGGCCUUAGGGUUGUAAAGCUCUUUUACCCGGGAUGAUAAUGACAGUACCGGGAGAAUAAGCUCCGGCUAACUCCGUG